rnacentral:lncRNA from 1 species
AGCCAUGGACCUCUCUCUCCAUACAAAAUCUGGAUAAUCAAAGGAAUAUUACAUGCACGUCAAAGGUUCAGCAUUGCAGGAUUGAUUCUUAACCUGACACGUCAAUGACAUUUAGAAGCUUCGAGUUGAAGGAGAUGCAGCACUGCUAUGGCUUCCACUGGUUACAACAACCAAUUAUAUAUAUGAAGAAUCUCCUUGAAUUUGACAGUUUUC